AGUGAACGCUGGCGGUAGGCCUAACACAUGCAAGUCGAACGGCAGCACAGUAAGAGCUUGCUCUUACGGGUGGCGAGUGGCGGACGGGUGAGGAAUACAUCGGAAUCUACUUUUUCGUGGGGGAUAACGUAGGGAGACUUACGCUAAUACCGCAUACGACCUACGGGUGAAAGCAGGGGAUCUUCGGACCUUGCGCGAUUGAAUGAGCCGAUGUCGGAUUAGCUAGUUGGCGGGGUAAAGGCCCACCAAGGCGACGAUCCGUAGCUGGUCUGAGAGGAUGAUCAGCCACACUGGAACUGAGACACGUCCAGACUCCUACGGGAGGCAGCAGUGGGGAAUAUUGGACAAUGGGCGCAAGCCUGAUCCAGCCAUACCGCGUGGGUGAAGAAGGCCUUCGGGUUGUAAAGCCCUUUUGUUGGGAAAGAAAAGCAGCAGGUUAAUACCCCGCUGUUCUGACGGUACCCAAAGAAUAAGCACCGGCUAACUUCGUG
rnacentral:rRNA from 1 species